UUAUGUUCUUCGCGCCAAUAUCCGGAUUCCAACUAAUGUUAGCAGCGACCUUUUUAUGUUAUUACAAAAAUGGCUAAACCACCACCAUCUAUGACAUUUAAGAAAGAAACACGUCUAAAAGAUGACAGGACAGUGUAAAAACCUGACACUUUGGUCUUCUGAAAGAGAACUAACAGAUAAUUAGAAUUACGACGAUAUUAUCAUCAACAUCUUAAAUGCAAAAUCCCGCGACUCCGACUUGUUUAGAGCAGACAGCGGCCAUACAAGGUAUUCUUGAUAUGCAGUGUGACAAGAAGCGAGGACAGUUUCAUGAGCUUAGAGAGCCCAUUUUGGCAGCGAGCAUCUUUUAGCACCCUGCCCAGAUGGUGCACGACGAUCGGAUGUGGGGGAGCCACCAGUAAAUAUAUUUCCACAUUUAAACUACGGAAGAGGAAAGGAGUGUCGAUCAAAGAGCCAGAUCUCCGAGACAGGGUCUUUAGAGACGGCGUGGGUUGAGCAGGCUUGAAUCGCCGCUGCAUGCCAACUCCUGGAGUCAUGCAUUUUCGAAAUGGAGCUUGAUGUGGAAUAUUUCAGUAAAAAAAGCUCAAUACAUUGUAUGCAUCUCCAUUUUGCCUCUAAACUCCUGCUUCCCCA